rnacentral:tRNA from 1 species
GGCGGCAUAGCCAAGCGGUAAGGCAGAGGUCUGCAAAACCUUUAUUCUCCGGUUCAAAUCCGGAUGCCGCCU